UGGCUCAGUGGAUAGAGCGUCAGUCUGCGGACUGAAGAGUACCGGGUUUGAUUCCGGU
rnacentral:tRNA from 1 species